rnacentral:rRNA from 1 species
GGUGAACGCUGGCGGUAGGCCUAACACAUGCAAGUCGAACGGCAGCACAGUAAGAGCUUGCUCUUACGGGUGGCGAGUGGCGGACGGGUGAGGAAUACAUCGGAAUCUACUUUUUCGUGGGGGAUAACGUAGGGAAACUUACGCUAAUACCGCAUACGACCUACGGGUGAAAGCAGGGGAUCUUCGGACCUUGCGCGAUUGAAUGAGCCGAUGUCGGAUUAGCUAGUUGGCGGGGUAAAGGCCCACCAAGGCGACGAUCCGUAGCUGGUCUGAGAGGAUGAUCAGCCAAACUUGAACUGAGAAACGGUCCAGACUCCUACGGGAGGGAGCAGUUGGGAAUAUUGGACAAUGGGCGCAAGCCUGAUCCAGCCAUACCGCGUGGGUGAAGUAGGCCUUCGGGUUGUAAAGCCCUUUUGUUGGGAAAGAAAAGCAGCAGGUUAAUACCCCGCUGUUCUGACGGUACCCAAAGAAUAAGCACCGGCUAACUUCGUG